UGUUUCUUGUGCUGGCAGAGAGGUGUUGCCAGUAGGGAUUAACGUGUUAUGAUUUUAUUUUGAAUUUAUUCUCCAUUUAUUUAUAAUGUGUGAUCCAUUCAUUUUUAGGAAAUUUUAAAAUGGUGGGCAUUUGACAGUGAUUAAAAGUUUUGACAGUUCAAGAAACCUGUACAGCCAAGAAACCUGUACAGCCAAGACAUGUCAAAACUGAUCCGUAGCAGAACGUCUGACUGCUUAAAGCUACACCAGAAACAUUAAAUUUUUUAACGGCCGACUGAUAACUAUGUCCGCUCUUACCUUACGGCUUUGAAAAAUCAGAAAAAAAAAGGUCAAGCUUCUAAUCGUUCAUCGACAGUUUCCAAACCUCCCUGUCUCGCCUCUCUCUCUCCCCUCUCUAAAGCGACGAAAUCGCCAAACUUGUCAAUUAAAAUUUCACGCAUAACUGACGCGGCGCUUAUCAAGCGUUGUCUAUCAAUCAUGUGGUCGAAAUAAGGAGAGGAACACGGAUACACAGGCACACACACACACACACAAAGUCAUAUCAUCGUAGAUGGAUUAUAGUGCACAAAGUUUAAUGACGUCAUUGGAUUCUUCUGUUCAUCGGCGAGGCAUAAAUACCUCAACUGAAAACAUAUACCAAGUGCUCACUGCGCUAUAAACCAAGCAUUCGACGUUUAAUGGAUUCUCGUACAAUGUCGUUAUUAUGAAAUUAUUAUUAGCUCUUAACAGGGCCAUACAUGUUUAUUCUUUAUUCCCCAAAAUUGCUUUAAAGUAACCAGAAUUUGGAGUUUCUGUAUUAGUAAAAACAAAAAGUGUGCCAAUCAUGAAAACUCUAUAAUAGAAACAUUUUGUUGGGAUACAAGUUCAAACUUCAAUCUAAGUUGCUGUGUAGCAGAUCACUAUGUGGGAAAUACACAGACACUUCGGCCUGGCCAUGAAAUUCUCAGCUUUAAAAGAAAACUUAUUCGCCAUUAUCUACUGUUCAAUAUUUGUGUGUAUUUCCUUCACAUGGGCGGCGCCGGCCACUGGGGUAGAGACAGCAACGCAAAUUGAACAAAGUCAAAAUGACCUGAAAGAAGUCAGCUUCAUUAUACAGAAACUUGAACAAGAAAUGGUGAGAGGUAACUAUACA
rnacentral:sRNA from 1 species